rnacentral:rRNA from 1 species
GACGAACGCUGGCGGCGUGCUUAACACAUGCAAGUCGAACGAGAAGAGAUGAGAAGCUUGCUUCUUAUUAAUUCGAGUGGCAAACGGGUGAGUAACGCGUAAGCAACCUGCCCUUCAGAUGGGGACAACAGCUGGAAACGGCUGCUAAUACCGAAUACGUUCUUUUUGUCGCAUGGCAGAGGGAAGAAAGGGAGGCUCUUCGGAGCUUUCGCUGAAGGAGGGGCUUGCGUCUGAUUAGCUAGUUGGUGAGGUAACGGCCCGACCAAGCCGACGAUCAGUAGCCGACCUGAGAGGGUGACGGCCACAUUGGAACUGAGACACGGUCCAGACUCCUACGGAGGCAGCAGUGGGGAAUCUUCCGCAAUGGGCGAAAGCCUGACGGAGCAACGCCGCGUGAGUGAAGAAGGCCUUCGGGUCGUAAACGUUCUAUC